rnacentral:rRNA from 1 species
CGUAAAGACGGGCCAUGGGCGGGGGUAAAAGGGAGGGGGGAAGAGGUGUACGGAUGAACUGGGCGUAAAGAGCGGGAAGGCGGCGAAUUCAGGUGAAUGGGAAAGCCCACGGCUUAACUGGGGGGGGUCAUUGGAUACUGCUCGGGUAGAAGACAGGAGAGGGAAGUGGAAUUCCCGGUGUAGUGGUGAAAGGCGUAGAUAUCGGGAGGAACACCAGUGGCGAAGGCGACUUUCUGGCCUGUUCUUGACGCUGAGGCGCGAAAGCUAGGGGAGCAAACGGGAUUAGAUACCCGUGUAGUC